rnacentral:rRNA from 1 species
UGUGACUGCGUACCUUUUGUAUAAUGGGUCAGCGACUUAUAUUCUGUAGCAAGGUUAACCGUAUAGGGGAGCCGUAGGGAAACCGAGUCUUAACCGGGCGUUAAGUUGCAGGGUAUAGACCCGAAACCCGGUGAUCUAGCCAUGGGCAGGUUGAAGGUUGGGUAACACUAACUGGAGGACCGAACCGACUAAUGUUGAAAAAUUAGCGGAUGACCUGUGGCUGGGGGUGAAAGGCCAAUCAAACCGGGAGAUAGCUGGUUCUCCCCGAAAGCUAUUUAGGUAGCGCCUCGUGAAUUCAUCUCCGGGGGUAGAGCACUGUUUCGGCUAGGGGGCCAUCCCGGCUUACCAACCCGAUGCAAACUGCGAAUACCGGAGAAUGUUAUCACGGGAGACACACGGCGGGUGCUAACGUCCGUCGUGAAGAGGGAAACAACCCAGACCGCCAGCUAAGGUCCCAAAGUCAUGGUUAAGUGGGAAACGAUGUGGGAAGGCCCAGACAGCCAGGAUGUUGGCUUAGAAGCAGCCAUCAUUUAAAGAAAGCGUAAUAGCUCACUGGUCGAGUCGGCCUGCGCGGAAGAUGUAACGGGGCUAAACCAUGCACCGAAGCUGCGGCAGCGAACGUAUCACCCAAGACAACUUUACGGAGUUGACGAUUGACGGAGCGAAGCGACGUCAAAGCGUUCAUUAAAGUCGAGUUGGCUUAGGGAUACGUUCGUUGGGUAGGGGAGCGUUCUGUAAGCCUGUGAAGGUGUGUCGUGAGGCAUGCUGGAGGUAUCAGAAGUGCGAAUGCUGACAUAAGUAACGAUAAAGCGGGUGAAAAGCCCGCUCGCCGGAAGACCAAGGGUUCCUGUCCAACGUUAAUCGGGGCAGGGUGAGUCGACCCCUAAGGCGAGGCCGAAAGGCGUAGUCGAUGGGAAACGGGUUAAUAUUCCCGUACUUGGUGUUACUGCGAAGGGGGGACGGAGAAGGCUAUGUUGGCCGGGCGACGGUUGUCCCGGUUUAAGCGUGUAGGUGUGUGUUCCAGGUAAAUCCGGUUCACUUUAACACUGAGGCGUGACGACGAGGCACUACGGUGCUGAAGCAACAAAUGCCCUGCUUCCAGGAAAAGCCUCUAAGCAUCAGGUAACACGAAAUCGUACCCCAAACC